GACGAACGCUGGCGGCGUGCUUAACACAUGCAAGUCGAACGGUAAGGCCCUUCGGGGUACACGAGUGGCGAACGGGUGAGUAACACGUGGGUGAUCUGCCCUGCACUUCGGGAUAAGCCUGGGAAACUGGGUCUGAUACCGGAUAGGACCACUGCCUGCAUGGGUGGUGGUGGAAAGCUUUUGCGGUGUGGGAUGGGCCCGUGGCCUAUCAGCUUGUUGGUGGGGUGAUGGCCUACCAAGGCGACGACUGGUAGCCGGCCUGAGAGGGUGACCGGCCACACUGGGACUGAGAUACGGCCCAGACUCCUACGGGAGGCAGCAGUGGGGAAUAUUGCACAAUGGGCGCAAGCCUGAUGCAGCGACGCCGCGUGAGGGAUGACGGCCUUCGGGUUGUAAACCUCUUUCAGCACCGACGAAGCGCAAGUGACGGUAGGUGCAGAAGAAGGACCGGCCAACUACGUGCCAGCAGCCGCCGCAG
rnacentral:rRNA from 1 species